UUAUGACUAAUUUAUUCUAAAACUGUAUUCUGCAGAAAACUACAGAACAAGAGAAACUAACAAAAAAAAUUAGCUGCAGGAAGUUUGAGAAUGAUAGCUGCUCACAUGUACCAUCUUCUGGAGCACAAGCAUUCUUUGGCAAUAACACUGAAGAACCGGACCCUACCAUUUCUUUCAAGCCUGCUGAAAGCACUGAACAAGGAAUGUGUGUGUGAUGCACUGCACAAAGAGUGAUAGGAGGAAGAGAUAAGGAAAUCAAUGCUGGGGAAAGAAAGGAGAAAGGAGAAGCUAAAAACACCAGUGACAAAGAAUACAGCACCUAUACCAGGAUAUACUUUAGAAGAAGCUACUUGAAAUUUUACCAGGAAUGGAUCUGAAGGUAUGGCUUGUAUCUGACCUUUCAAGGAACUGGAGGUAAUCCUGUCCCAAGCAGCCUGUACCAACAAGUCAACAUGGAACUGAUAUAUCCUGCAUUCAACAACAGUUGCUUCUGAGCUGUAAAAGAUAAGCUGUCACUGGAACAGAGAAUACCAAAUGCUUUCUGACA